GACGAACCGUGCGACCGUUAUUCGGAAUCACUGGGCUUAAAGGGCGCGUAGGCGGGUUCUCAAGUCAGGGGUGAAAUCCCGCGGCUCAACCGUGGAAGUGCCUUUGAUACUGGGGACCUCGAGGGAGGUAGGGGCGUGCGGAACUUCCGGUGGAGCGGUGAAAUGCGUAGAUAUCUGGAGGAACACCGGUGGCGAAGGCGGCAUCCUGGACCGAGAUUGACGCUGAUGCGCGAAAGCCAGGGGAGCAAACGGG
rnacentral:rRNA from 1 species